UCACUCUAAUAGUUCUACAGCUGCAACAUGCGUAACUUGGAUCAUUAAAAUAACAUUUCAAACAAUUUUUCUUCACAGAUGAAAUUAAAAAUUGGUUAAGAGAGACGAUAAAGAUAUACGUAACAUUAAAAUGGAAAUUUAAAAAGAAGUAGAAGAAUUCUAUAUAAAUGGUUGAGAGCGUCAGGCGCAAAAAAUACGAUUCCCCUAAUUCCCCAUACCGUUGUAUACCUACAACGUGCUGGAUCUACCCCUAAUUUCGUUCAUCGCCCCAUAGAAAUUCCCCUUGAAUCUCUAGCCCACCAAACAUAUGUCGGAGAUCUCGUCCCCUUUUCGGUACAAUGACACCAUGGAAUUUCGUGCAGACGAUUGGCCAGUCGUUCGUCCAAUGAAACACGCUGGCAGAACUUUAUGGGGGUUGACACGCGUCCUGUUUCCCCUGGGGUGGAAUUCAUGGGAUUAGGCGGCGGCAACGUAAACGUAACGUCGUUAUGAUAACUUGUUUCUCUUCCUCGUUUCCUCCACUCUUUUUUUCACAGUAGGAUUAUGUUGGAUUACGACUUCGCCACUUUCUUCUCGCUUCUUGUAAAACGUUAAACGUAGCGUAAUAAGCGCACAUCGAGGGUACUGUGGAAAUAAUGUUUUUCUUUUAAUAUCAAUGGUGUUAUUUGAAAUUCAAUGGGAAGUUGGUAAUUUUUGAAGUUGUAUUUUUAAGAUUUACAUAAUGAAAUGUUAGUGCACGUAGAGGUAAGAGAGUAUGCCAGUUACAGUGUCAGGUGAGCGACUAUGGAGUUGAUCGUUGGCUGCUUGUAAUUCUAGACAGGAAUUAAGCGGUGCAGCGGACAGCCACAGCUUCACCGUUGCAAGCGGUACUGUGGAAAGGACAACUUUGUAAUAUGAUUACGGCCGGAGAGAUUCAAUAUCGAAAUUAGGAAAACUGAAUUUUUAACCGUCCUAAUAUCUUCAUCCGUGACGAACUAUCGUAGCGAAUAAGAACGUCAGUGGAUACUGGUUCCUAUGAAAGGACCACAAUUUCAAAGGAAAAUGGAGCGAAGUCGACAUUUUAAAACAAGAAAUCACACUACAAGACCUGCAAUAAUCCAACAGUUAAAAUUAACGAAGAAGUAUACUCCAUUCAUUUUACUUACUAUUUGCCACUGAAAUACCAUAUUUUCUAUGUUUACAUUUAUCGUUGAAUGAAAGUCAAGCAAUUGUAGAAAAAUAACUGUACUCGUGAUUCUAUAACUCCAGACUGCAGUAAUUGUGUAAUACGACGAAUAUCCUGUUUAAAAAAUUGAAAUAUAUUAAAACAGAAAUUAGACGCAUUAUGUCCUUUCCUGGGAAAAGACAAACACGAACAAGCGCCGUUUUUGUUACGAGUCAUUUAAUUAUCAAAGAAGUACUUUCCAUCCAUCUUAAUUGCCAUACACCGCUAAAAGAGCAAAUUCCAAAGGAAGAAUGAAAGAAAGUCAGCAUCUUGAAAAAGGCGUUCACGCUGUGAGUCUGGUGUACGCACGAACAGCUGGAAUCUCCUCCAGUCACCAGCGGGAUCCAUUCAGAAUCACCGACGCGACAGCUGAAGGACGUUGUUUUCCUACGACAAAUUACGCGCGCGUUCGCCGCUUUCGACGCGCGGCGUCGAUGCGUGUGCGUGUGAUCCUCCCGUGUUGUCUACAUACACCAACACACAACGUACGCACACCAUAACGCUGACCUACCCCACUGAGAAUCGUGUUUCAAUACAGAAACCGAAAACCAUAUCAUUACGUUGAAGCUCGUAGCAAACUUUUGUAGGAAAUGCGCGCGCGCAAUCGACUAACCUUUGCGAGGGCCAGUUAGCGCGUUUCACAGGUGUGUGUUAAUACACGUGAUAAUCGAGCACGCGUGCCACUAAGAAAACAUUUUUCUGUAGUAAGUUUUUCUUUGAUUCGUCGAUACGGUGAUUUUAUUCUCUAAUCGUGUGAUUCUGGACGGAUUCAUUGUGAUUUGGAGUAAGAAUGACGAAGAGUUUGGAUGCAAUCGAUGGAAUGUUUGGAGUAAGGAUGACGGAGAAUUUGAAUGCGUACGUAUAGUGUAAGUCGACUUUGUGUUCUAGAGUUUAUGUUUACUGAGUCUUAUUAAAAAUUGAGCGUAUUAAUUUUGAAUGGGUUUAUUGUGAUUUUAGGUAAGAUCGAUGGAAUGUUUGGAGUAAGAAUGACGGAGAGUUUAGAUGCGUACAUAUAGUGUAAGUUGACUUUGUAUUUUAGAAGUUGUGCUUAUUGAAUCUUACUAAGAAUUGAUGUAAUUAAUUUCGAAUAGGUUUAUUGUGAUUCAGGUAAGAUCGAAGGGGUGUUUGGAUGUGUACAUAUGAUAUAAAUUGACUCUGUGUCUUGGGGGUUAUGUCGAGUGAAGUUAGUAGUUUAUCGGCCUCCGAUCGUCUCCAAAAAAUCACGUCUCGUGCUCGCAACCAACAAUUGCACAAUACGAUUUCGCGGUUUCAUUGCGGUGCUUACAGGUUGAGGAUUUUUCAAAGAAGUUGCGCUAUACUCCUUCUACUUUUACUCGACAUAUAAGUACCAUAUAUAUAUAACGAGGAAUACAAAUCACUUAAAAUCAUUCUACCAUAUAUGUUCUUCAUUGAAGAAUUCUAUUCUAUUUUCUAUUGGGAAGCAUGUUAAAUUAACAGUGUUCCGGGUAAAAUAUCAUGACCAAACAAACAUUAUGUUUCUUUACUGUGAGGCUUGCAACGGUUCCAGAUUAGUUCAGAUAUCCAUCACUUUUUAUUAUAAGGAUUAUAAUGUCGAUUAAUGGAAACAGUUACAAAUCGGUUCAGGGUGAACAGUCUUCAUCAGCUAGGAUACCAUAGUGCGUAACUCUUUAACAUAAAAAUUAUAAUAUUAGUUGAUUGACGAAAACAAUUCCAAAUCGGUUAGGCCCGAGAAACGAGGAACGAACAAUUGGCGAAUGCGGGGCAAAAUUGACCACGUUGGUUACAUAAUGGGCCUCCUCGAGCUUCGUCAAAUGGUGGGCAGUACGAGUAUUUAGAUGAGUUGACUCCAAUUGGCGUACGUACCGUGAGAAUCCAGUAUCUAGCGCGUGGACCGUGUGUGAACCAGUCAGUCGAGGAAGAAAAAUGGGUGAACUAAUCAUGCAAAUUGGGUACAAAGUUACGUAAUUCUGUUCUAUCUCUAUCCACCCGUCCGUUGGAAUCUCGAACAUCAGACGUCCAGUAAUAGUCGCUUGCAUUUGCAGCAAUUAACUAUUUCUUCAUCGAAAUUAGAUUGACGUUGACUCGCAAGCGUUUUGUAAUUGAAAUAUUGUUUUUGGUAUCUGUACUGGCUUCGUUGCUAGUUCCUUGUCCCACUUCUGAAACUAGAUUAAUUGAUUCCACCACUAGGUAAUCGGUCUAAUUAUUCGAGCGUUAUAACUUUCUUGGAGUUGUUAAUAUUUAAUCGAGCAAUUAGAGAAUUAAAUUCGGCAAGAGAUAUAGCUAUUUCUGUACAUAUUACAGGAGAAAUCCUCUUCUGAUUUUGCGGUAUACAUAGACUUAGAAAUAUUAAGGAAUCAAAACCUUCCAAAUUCUCAAACUUAAAUAGAUUAAAGUCUUUAAAUGGAUUCAGCAAGUCAAAAACUAUUAAAACAGGUUAAUUUCAUUCGUAGGAUAACACAAUCACUAGCUUCAGUUCCAUUGGAAACUAUAGCUAGGGGUCAGAUUCUGAUUAGGUUUAAACUAAAUAUUAUCCAGCUUUCAACUUUGACUUUCACAGCCAAGCAAUUAAAACUGCUGUAUUGAGUUUGAUUCGGAUUACUUUUCACGACCCAAAUUUUUGUUAUUCAUAAAGAAUACCUUAGAAGUUAGAAACAAAAACAGUCUGCUACACUGAACAAAUUUAUACUUGUUAUACAAGAACAGGAAAAAGGAUUUGGUUCAGGCCUGAAAUCGUAUUCGCAUUGCCACAACAUUCAUUUCUCAAUUAAAAUUUUGGAAGCGACGACCAUCCUAAAACUCUUAAGCAAAGAUGCGCUGGAUGUGUAACGUCGAAAAAUGCUGGAAAAAUCAAACAGACGUGUAGGACCGUGGUCUGGCUCGCGGAGCAGAUUUGAGUGAGGAACGGAAGAGGAGGUUCGGAACGAUUAUGCAGCACGACACGGUGCCCAACAAGGAGAGACAAGGAGAUGGAGAGAAAAAGAGAAGGAGUGCACGAUGCACACGCUGCGAGCAAUGUGCGAGGCUUCGCGCGGCCGUCAAUUACGAUUAAUUAGAGCGGAGACUGACAGCGGACGCAGCGACGGCUACUUAAUACUUUAACUUGUCCCCAACCCUCCACCCGUUCACUUCCUCCGUCGUCGUCGACGGUGACGAAUCGACCGAGAGCUCCGUUCGUUUCGUUCAUCGUAAACUAUCGUGUAUAUAUCCCUUUUUGCCUUUUUCUCCUCGAUGUUCCCUCCAUUCACGAAACGUGAGAUCUCUGUUACGUCCUUGUUCGCGGCAGGGAAAAAGUCACCAUCCAGGAAAUUCAAGCUUCUGGCUUGGGGCCACGCGUGCUCUCGUAAUAGGACAGUUUGUUCCUUGUAAAAUCAUUCCUUUCCUUCUCUUGAAAUUCUAUUUCUAUUGCGUUCUUUCGGUUGUAAGAAAAGGUCUAAGGGAAUAAAAUACGAGGCUCAUUACAUAAAUAGAUAGAUAGUUUUAUUUUAGCCUGGCGGCCUUGAAACAAGACUUGGAUUACAAUUCCUCAGUUUAUUACAGUAUUUAAAAGGCUAAAAUACACGUAGAAUACUCUUUGUUCGUUAACGAUCACAGAAAGAUGCAAUUGUAGCUUUUUAACGUUAGAAAAUGUCUCAGGCUUGAACAAGAUAUGAAACAUUUCUCACCGGAAUGCAGGAUCUUUUUAAUGUGCUCUUGAAAGAUUAGAAAUCCCCUUUUUUGUUAAAAUUAUAAAGAUAAUAUAGCAAUAUGAAAAUUUCAGUAUCGCAGCAGGGUUAAAUUCGCUUCGAUAUUUGUAUUGUAUGAAAUGAAUGUGUAGAAUGUUUUUGGUAUUGUUUUCUGUACCAGGUAUAAAUAGUUGGAAGGUUUGUGGUACUUGAAAUUAAAAUCUUAGAGACUUCUUAGAGACUGAGAGAUACUUCAUGCCAAUGAAUUAGUACUUUUUGGCUAUAAAAGUACAUGUUGAUACAAUGGAAGAUCACUCAUCUGAAUCUGAUUGUUACGUUAGACAUUGAACAUAGGAGAAUAAUUUUAUUAUAUUAUAUAAGAGUUAACGUUCACAUUAGUAGAUUCAAUCAGCAGGUGUUAGUUACUAGUUAGGUGGUAGUUACUCGAGUAUUAAAUAAAGUCUUGUUCCAGUAAAACGAAUUCUGCUUUAUACACGUAAUCUAAAUCUACUCUUGUUAAUUAGUACUUAUCUAUUAAAUGUAGAAUUAAUAUUUACAGUUACAGGAUAACAUGUAAAAGUAGUCAUCGAAAUGAAAUAUUAACACCAUAAGAUAAACUAUCGAAGCACCCCAAUCUGUCGUUAGAUUGACGAAGGAAGUGAGAAUUAAUGACAAUUAGUUAGCAGAAACAUCAGAGUCCCUCGACUUUGAGCGUUGAACAAGUCGAAUCUAAUAACAAGUUGUCGGUGUACACACUUCGUAACAACCGUAAUUAAUUAUAUAAUAUCGUGAUCUACGUUAGAAAGAGAGAACUCGCUGCAUUAUUAAACAGCAACAAUUAAAGCGAAGAAUUAAUUCAGAAUAUUGCGGAUGCGCCGUUUCACGGUUUCAGGCAUACGUUCGUUACGCAUCGCAUCGACUUUAUAUUAAUAAGUAUGAUGUUCUGCUCGUUUGUAAGACGUAAAAUCAUUAAUCAAAGCUACAAUUAUAUACACGUUGGCACCAUUUUAUAAGUUACCCACCGUAGCGCGAAAACUAUUUAUUUUACCAAUACCGUAGCAACAACACGGCUUCAUAUUGAGAUUAUAUUUUAUCAGGUGUUUCAUUACGAAAAAGAAAACAUUACAAACGUAUGAAAAUUUAUUUAUAGCCAUUCACGAAGGUCUUCGUACACCUUAUUCCUUCAUAUACCUUCGUAUACGAAGGCCAUUUUCAUUCACUGUAUGGUAUAGUGGUUAUCUUAUCACGUAACCGAUAUGUUCAGAAAUUUAUUUAAGUUUAGCAAGAAAAGAUAAC